GAUGAACGCUGGCGGCGUGCCUAAUACAUGCAAGUCGAGCGAACAGACGAGGAGCUUGCUCCUUCGACGUUAGCGGCGGACGGGUGAGUAACACGUAGGUAACCUACCUAUAAGACUGGGAUAACUUCGGGAAACCGGCGCUUAUACCGGAUAAUAUUUCGAACCGCAUGGUUCGAUAGUGAAAGAUGGCUUUGCUAUCACUUCUAGCUGGACCUGCGCCGUAUUAGCUAGUUGUUAAGGUAACGGCUUACCAAGGCAACGAUACGUAGCCGACCUGAGAGGGUGAUCGGCCACACUGGAACUGAGACACGGUCCAGACUCCUACGGGAGGCAGCAGUAGGGAAUCUUACGCAAUGGGCGAAAGCCUGACGGAGCAACGCCGCGUGAGUGAUGAAGGUCUUCGGAUCGUAAAACUCGGUUAUUAGGGAAGAACAAACGUGUAAGUAACUGUGCACGUCUUGACGGUACCUAAUCAGAAAGCCACGGCUAACUACGUG
rnacentral:rRNA from 1 species